rnacentral:rRNA from 1 species
GUGACCUCAAAUCAGGUAGGACUACCCGCUGAACUUAAGCAUAUCAAUAAGCGGAGGAAAAGAAACUAACAAGGAUUCCCCUAGUAACUGCGAGUGAAGCGGGAAAAGCUCAAAUUUAAAAUCUGGCGGUCUUUUGGCUGUCCGAGUUGUAAUCUAGAGAAGUGUUAUCCGCGCUGGACCGUGUACAAGUCUCCUGGAAUGGAGCAUCAUAGAGGGUGAGAAUCCCGUCUUUGACAUGGACUGCCAGGGCUUUGUGAUGCGCUCUCAAAGAGUCGAGUUGUUUGGGAAUGCAGCUCAAAAUGGGUGGUAAAUUCCAUCUAAAGCUAAAUAUGGGCGAGAGACCGAUAGCGAACAAGUACCGUGAGGGAA